rnacentral:rRNA from 1 species
GUGGAUUAGAUACCCUGGUAGUCCUAGCCGUAAACGAUGUGAACUUGGCGGUGGUUGGGUAAAACCGAGCACUGCCGAAGCAAACGCGAUAAGUUCACCACCUGGGGACUACGGCCGCAAGGUUAAAACUCAAAGGAAUUGACGGGGGCCCGCACAAGCAGCGGAGCGUGUGGUUUAAUUCGAUGCUACACGAAGAACCUUACCAGGGCUUGACAUGCAAGUGGUAGGGAAGGGAAACCGGACCGACCCUUCGGGGAGCUUGCACAGGUGCUGCAUGGCCGUCGCCAGCU